UACGUAGGGGGCAAGCGUUGUCCGGAAUCAUUGGGCGUAAAGAGCGUGUAGGCGGCUCGAUAAGUCUGCUGUGAAAGUCCAGGGCUCAACCCUGGAAGGCCGGUGGAAACUGUCGGGCUAGAGUCCGGAAGAGGAGAGUGGAAUUCCCGGUGUAGCGGUGAAAUGCGCAGAUAUCGGGAGGAACACCAAUGGCGAAGGCAGCUCGCUGGGACGGUACUGACGCUGAGACGCGAAAGCGUGGGGAGCAAACAGG
rnacentral:rRNA from 1 species